AUACGGAGGGUGCAAGCGUUACUCGGAAUCACUGGGCGUAAAGCGCGCGCAGGCGGCUAUUUAAGUUGGAUGUGAAAGCCUAUGGCUCAACCAUAGAACUGCAUCCAAAACUAUUUAGCUAGAGUGUGGGAGAGGAAGAUGGAAUUAGUUGUGUAGGGGUAAAAUCCGUAGAGAUAACUAGGAAUACCAAAAGCGAAGGCAAUCUUCUGGAACACUACUGACGCUGAGGCGCGAAGGCGUGGGGAGCAAACAGGAUUAGAAACCCCAGUAGUCC
rnacentral:rRNA from 1 species